UACGUAGGGUGCAAGCGUUAAUCGGAAUUACUGGGCGUAAAGCGUGCGCAGGUGGUUCUAUAAGACAGAUGUGAAAUCCCCGGGCUCAACCUGGGAACUGCAUUUGUGACUGUAGAGCUGGAGUACGGCAGAGGGGGAUGGAAUUCCGCGUGUAGCAGUGAAAUGCGUAGAUAUGCGGAGGAACACCGAUGGCGAAGGCAAUCCCCUGGGCCUGUACUGACGCUCAUGCACGAAAGCGUGGGGAGCAAACAGG
rnacentral:rRNA from 1 species